GGAUUAGAUACCCUGGUAGUCCACGCUGUAAACGAUGAUCACUCGAUAUGCGUCUUUCGAGAUGCGUGUCCAAGCGAAAGCAUUAAGUGAUCCACCUGGGGAGUACGUUCGCAAGAAUAAAACUUAAAGGAAUUGACGGGGAUCCGCACAAGCGGUGGAGCAUGUGGUUUAAUUCGAUACUACGCGAGGAACCUUACCUAGGCUACAAUGCAUAUUGACCCAUCCAGAAAUGGAUGUUUCCGCAAGGACAAUUUGCAAGGUGCUGCAUGGCUGUCGUCAGCUCGUGCUG
rnacentral:rRNA from 1 species